rnacentral:rRNA from 1 species
GACUAAGGCCAUAUCACCCUGAACACAGCCAAUCUUGUCUGAUCUCAGAAGCUAAGCAUGGUUAGUACUUGGGUGGGAGGCCUUUUCAGUAUACAGGAAAUGAGAUCAGUGGUAAAGUCU